AUGAACGCUGGCGGCGUGCCUAAUCCAUGCAAGUCGAGCGAACAGACGAGGAGCUUGCUCCUCUGACGUUAGCGGCGGACGGGUGAGUAACACGUGGAUAACCUACCUAUAAGACUGGGAUAACUUCGGGAAACCGGAGCUAAUACCGGAUAAUAUAUUUAACCGCAUGGUUCAAUAGUUAAAGACGGUUUUGCUGUCACUUAUAGAUGGAUCCGCGCCGCAUUAGCUAGUUGGUAAGGUAACGGCUUACCAAGGCGACGAUGCGUAGCCGACCUGAGAGGGUGAUCGGCCACACUGGAACUGAGACACGGUCCAGACUCCUACGGGAGGCAGCAGUAGGGAAUCUUCCGCAAUGGGCGAAAGCUUGACGGAGCAACGCCGAGUGAGUGAUGAAGGUCUUCGGAUCGUAAAACUCUGUUAUUAGGGAAGAACAAAUGUGUAAGUAACUAUGCACGUCUUGACGGUACCUAAUCAGAAAGCCACGGCUAACUACGUG
rnacentral:rRNA from 1 species